rnacentral:rRNA from 1 species
AUUGAACGCUGGCGGCAUGCUUUACACAUGCAAGUCGAACGGUAACAGGCCGCAAGGUGCUGACGAGUGGCGAACGGGUGAGUAAUGCAUCGGAACGUGCCCAGUCGUGGGGGAUAACGCAGCGAAAGCUGUGCUAAUACCGCAUCCGAUCUAUGGAUGAAAGCGGGGGACCGUAAGGCCUCGCGCGAUUGGAGCGGCCGAUGUCAGAUUAGGUGGUUGGGGGGGUAAAGGCCUACCAAGCCGACGAUCUGUAGCUGGUCUGAGAGGACGACCAGCCACACUGGGACUGAGACACGGCCCAGACUCCUACGGGAGGCAGCAGUGGGGAAUUUUGGACAAUGGGCGCAAGCCUGAUCCAGCAAUGCCGCGUGCAGGAAGAAGGCCUUCGGGUUGUAAACUGCUUUUGUACGGAACGAAACGGUCUGGGUUAAUACCCUGGGCUAAUGACGGUACCGUAAGAAUAAGCACCGGCUAACUACGUGCCAGCAGCCGCAGUAACAC